rnacentral:lncRNA from 1 species
ACGGCAAUGAGCGUCUUUCCUUGGGCUGCGUGUGCAGAGCUUAGACAAUGAAAAUCUCCAUCCCCCUCCCCCAUCCCCGCUAGGCUACAAGAUUUCUGUUGUCGUUCCUUCUCAACGGUGGAAGAUGUGCAAAAUCAAACCUAUAGAGAUGUGUAUAUAUUUUUUCACAAACAAACCAAACGGGCUGAGACGCGGAUUACCCAAACGCGCACCGGCUGUAAGUACUAUCUUUUCCUACGUUAGCCGUGCUCUGCGUCGCUGGCUGGGUCGGGAGUGUUCGCUUUGUGAGUCCGAGCGCGCGGGUUGUGUUUUGGUGUUUUUAUUCACAGGGGCUUCCUCGAAGCUUGCACUUUCUGCACGUGAGCGGGUGAAGCGUUUCGCCCGUGGUGGGCGUGCAGAACAAGGCACUGGCAGUCUUGGAUGCGGCGACUUGGAGCAGCGGGCGGGGGGCGUCGGGAGGCGCGGAGCGCAGGGGUUCCCGCGUUGCGAGCAUCCUUGGGAGCCUCCCGCCGGGCUCCGGGCUGCAAGGUUGGUUCCUGGCACUGGAUGGAAAUCAGGUCAUGGAGAUCCCUAAGUUCCAGCAUUACCAGACGUGCAUGGGAGACAGGAUGGAACUGGAAGGAGAAAUCUGAGGAGGAGGGAGGGGAUGCGAGCACCCUCGGCCUAGAAUGGAGUCCUGGGCCGCCGCGGGCCGGGCCCCUCGGCUUGCGGAACUUAGUCUGGCCGGGUUUGGCUGCUAUCUAGCAUCGCGCCUUUGGUGGGUCUUGUAGCUACAUCUCAUACAAAGGCUCUUCUUGUGACAAGGGCUGAGUGAGGGUGGCAGAGUGUGUCUCAGGGCGCCCAAGCGGGGGGAAUUGUGGUUCUGGGGGAGGUAUUUUUUUUUGGCCUCUUGAAAAUGUACAAGAAUUCCGCGGGCCCACGCUUUCUUUGUGUGCCGGGCAGCGCCAAGCGCUUUGUGCUUCACAAGGAGAAAAUGGCGAGUCCUAUUGUGUUUAGGCCAUUUUCUUCCGGUACAAGGAUUUUCCCAAGUUCUAAACACUUCUUCGGAAAGUAUAUGGUCUUAUCGUGCCCGGGAAAGUGUGAAUCGCUGAAGUUCGGCCCCGUGGCCUGGCGUGGGUACCGGCCUGUUUAGGCGAGAGCCUGUUUUCUUGCCGUUGGGUCACUUGCAUCAAAACAAAAAUAUGACCAGUUUGUGAAGGUCGGUGUCCUUCAAACAUUCGCAGCGGAUUUUGGGGAUUCGGAAGAUAAGCGUCUGUGUUUAUGUGUUUAGGUACAUGUAUAUAAAUAACAUACUUUUCCUGAUGAUCUGAAGAGGAAAAUAAAAGACGAAAGACAAUGAAAUGUUUGGAGAGAGGGGGAAAAGUUUUUUUUUUUCAUUAUUCUUUCACCCCCCUGGAAGAAACCCCAGGGGAGGUUAAAUGUUACUUUGGCAGGUCAGUCUUUUGUUUUUUCAAACGAAGGUGAAACGUUAUUUUGGACAGAGGGAAUUACUAGAUAGAUUUAACUACUAGAGUGUAUGCUUUCUUUGCUUCACUAGAAAAAAAAAAAAAUAUAUAUAUAUAUAGCAUGUUAGAUAAGGGAUUUAAUUUAAUGCUCUUAGUGCUAUGUGUGUGUGUGUGUGUGUGUGUGCGUGUGUGUGUGUGUGUGUGUGUGUGAUAUCUAUAGCUAUUUACAAAGAGAGAGUUGAGGUUUUGUUUUGGCUCUUUUUUUUUCUUCUCAAUUUGUCAUUUUGUAAAAAUUUCUGCACUUGUUAAGCCAUUUGUAAAAGUAGAUGAGGAUGCCCAGACAAGGAUGUCUAUGUCACUUUUCUUUUAAGAAAAAAAAAAAAAGAAGGUUGAAAAAAAUACUGUUUUCUACUCACUACAAUUCUUUGGACCCCUAAAUGGGGUGGUGAUUUUGUCAGCUCAAAAAAUAAUGAAAUGCAAACUCUUCCCAUCUGUUUCCUGUACUCACAAUUUGGUGACAAAUAUGGAAAAAUUAAAACAACUGGAAUGGGGAAGAGAACUCAAAGCCUAGAGAUGUUUCUCCCUUUGACAUUAUCUUAAGAUGUUAUGGCAUUAAAUUGGUGCAGGAGCAUUGUGAUUUACAUUUUUCAAAAUGCAUCACUAGCGUCUCUCUUCCUGUGGAUCAAGACCAUGGACAGCGAACUAAUAUUAAAUCACUGAGCAAAAAGGACUCUAGUAAAAUUUUGUGAGAGCAGAAUGGAAGUUUAUAUUCAAAAUGUGUUGGGAGGCAAAAGCAAUUUUUUUUUCUUUUUAGAAAGAAUUAAGACUUUUAAAGUUUGGAAUUUCAAACUUUUUCUACCAAGUCUCAAGAAAAGAGUGAUUUAGAUAUGCUGUCUCAAAUAGUAUAUGUUCUUUACCCAAUGAAAAUGAGAUGAGGUCUACCUUUUGUUACUGGUAAAUAACAAAUUUAAAUCCAUCCCUCUAACAUGUGGGCUGUUUCUUAUAAGGCCCUGAAGCAAAGUGAGUAUAGAAAAAUUUUACUAUUUUAGGCUGGUAUUACCUGAAUGACACUAAAGCAAAUUAAGUUGAUUUUUAUCAGCGACUGAAUUUCUAAAUGCAUAGAAUUGGAAAAAUUAAAUGCCACUUUGAUAGACAGGAAUAAUAUGAAUGGAUAUAUAACCCAGCUACACCUUCUAGUCCUGUUUAGGCAUUGUAGUCUAUAACCAACAGGGCAAUGUUGUGGGCAAACAUUUUUUUUCCAAGAGUCACAGAUUUCAUGUGUGUGUGUGUGUGUAUGUGUGUGUGUGUGUGUGUGUGUGUGUAUCUGUGUAUACAUAUAUAUAUAGAUAGAUAGAUAUACACAGAUAUAUAUAUAUACUGAUUUGAUUUGGGGGCACAGGAUUGAUUCACUGAGGCUCUGUGUCAGAGAUCAAUUUACUUAGUUUCAUAUGGUAUUUGAAUUCCCUUUAUUCCUUUACAAAAUUGAACUUGACUUGAAACCAUUUCAUUCGUGAAUUACAUAACACAUUCAAAAUUGCUCAUUUAAAUUCCCAAUUUUAUGUGAUCUUUUGGCUUAUUUCAUAACCUGACUUCAGUGUGACCUGUAAAGGACUGGGAAAUCAUAUAAGCAGAAAUAAUAGGCAGGUUUGAGAAAUGGAAAUGGUUUCUAUUUAAAUUUAAAUUUUAAAAUGAUAUCAAAUUAAACAGAGUUUAGGGUCUAUGAAUUAAUUAUUGAUCUUUGAUUUGGCUGUAAAAUAAAAGUGCAGUCACCUGAAUGUACAAAAUCAGAUGAUAUAAACGUUUUAGACACACACACACACACACACACACACACACACACACACCUUUUUGUUUAGUUGUUUUUGGAAACCUUUUUCAAAGUAUUUGCAAAGAACGUGCAAUGAUCAGGACCAUGGUGAGGUCCCCGUGGCUCACCGAGAGGUGACUCGGGGCUCUGGUUGGUACACAGAGUUCGGUUGAGAACAGGUCAUUGUUUAGAAAGGUACAUUCGUCCGGGAUGGCACUCGUGAUAAGAUUAAGCAUAAACCUAAACCUUGGCCUGGGGAAAGGAUGGCGGCAGGGGCGAGGAGAAGAGAUGCGGAUAAACCCUGCUCUGUUGCUUGCGCACAUAAUUAAAAGGCCGCCCCUCAUCUGGAGCGUGGGCUCUGUCCGGCCUAAGGUGCUUAUUCUAUAGUUACUUGGCCAACCAUGUGUGAGUGAACAAGAGCCCAAGAGCUUAGAAUUAAGGAUCUAGAUGAAAUGUCCAAGAGGUGUCGACUCUUGUCUCCAUUUUAGGGAGAGGCAACCGAAAAUGGUGACUUUGGCUUGCCUUGAGCAAGCGUGAGCAUUGAUGGGAGGGCUGUGAGGAAGGGCCAGAGAGACUGGGGGCGCGACGUCUUAGGAGGCUGUCUUUGGACCUCUGUGUUGGUGACAGGGGGGUAUAGGCAAGGGCAGGGCACUCGCCCUUUGCUGUACCCAGGCGCAGUUCUUGGGGGCUGAGCGCCUUCUGCGGCUCUUUGGUUUCAAGGACACAGCGAGCUGCUCAGGACUUUGGGAGCCAACAUCUGUCUGACUGGUGACGUCAGCAGCCCGUGUAAUCCUCUUGUGCUGAAGGCAGAUGCCUUAUUUGUUUGGCUGGAGCGAGCCAUUAAUCCCUAAUUCUGGAUCAGCAAGCGAGGGGGAAAGACCGGACCGCUCCGACCCACCCCCACCCACCCCCACCUCCCACCCUAAAGCACCUUAUACCACGGAAGCCUCUCAGCCUCCUCUUUCCUCCGCGAAGGCGCUCAACAGCAAUUGAAAACGCUUUGGUCCUCUCCAGGUUUGAUCAGAGCCAGUAGGUCUUUCUCCUUCGGAUUUCUAGGGCUAUGUGUAUAUGUAAUUCUUUCAUCGAUCGUUUCGAUUUUCUUGCUGGGACGCGCGGGUCUUGCAGUUUGCGGGGUCCUAAGCCAAGAAGGGGUGGGGAUUGGAGAGUGCGGAUGUAGAGUGUGGUCUGAGGGAAGGGGUGAGGCUGGGGCAAGGGAGCACAGAAUGCGGGAACUGCUGGACUGCGCCGGACGAUCUUCCGCGGNNNNNNNNNNNNNNNNNNNNNNNNNNNNNNNNNNNNNNNNNNNNNNNNNNNNNNNNNNNNNNNNNNNNNNNNNNNNNNNNNNNNNNNNNNNNNNNNNNNNNNNNNNNNNNNNNNNNNNNNNNNNNNNNNNNNNNNNNNNNNNNNNNNNNNNNNNNNNNNNNNNNNNNNNNNNNNNNNNNNNNNNNNNNNNNNNNNNNNNNNNNNNNNNNNNNNNNNNNNNNNNNNNNNNNNNNNNNNNNNNNNNNNNNNNNNNNNNNNNNNNNNNNNNNNNNNNNNNNNNNNNNNNNNNNNNNNNNNNNNNNNNNNNNNNNNNNNNNNNNNNNNNNNNNNNNNNNNNNNNNNNNNNNNNNNNNNNNNNNNNNNNNNNNNNNNNNNNNNNNNNNNNNNNNNNNNNNNNNNNNNNNUCCAGCCGCAGCCGGUAUCUACGCCGCCCAGGGACUGCGGUGGCUGAGGAUCCUCGCUUCCUCGGACGCAGGAGUCGGAGCGGGCCUUUCCCUUGGGCCGACCGCGCUGUAGGGGACGCCGCGAAAAGAGCCGCUGCGCCCGCCAGCUCCUGCCCGCUGCGCAGAGGGCUCCGCCCGUAGAGGUCAACUCCCCUCACCCCUUCCUCUCUCCUGCUCGCCCUCCCUCCGCCCGGCCCAGGUUCCUCCAGCCUCCAGACUCUUGCCGCAGUCUGAGGAGAGCGCGUCGGCUGCGCUGUUCUGAGCCAUAACCCCCAGCCGGGCCCAGACCCGAGGUCCGCGCUCCCAGGCAGUGGGGAAGCCUUAGCGAGCUGCCUUUUCUCUCUGCACCAAAGCUGUAGCCAGACCAGAUGGGCCGCCCAGCUCUCUCGGGACUAGGCAGGUGCGGUUGAGUUAAUUUUUCCGCAUUACAAAGAAAGACGACCCAGCCCGCCCUUGGCCUCUCAUCUCUUCCCCAAACCUCCCAACCGAAACCACGGUGACGUUAUCAGAGGACACAGAGCCUAGGCAUAUCUGCGAGACUCACUCACACACACACACACACACACACACACGCAUGAUUACUUUCCCUUCUAUACGCUAGAUCUCAUUCCCGACAGCAAGAAGUGACUGACAAAGCUUUCUGCACCAGAACAUGCAAUGGCGCGGUCCUUAAAACCUGCCAUCCCUUACAAGUGACUUAGAAGGGAUGCAGGGCGAACCAACUCCGUUAAUUGCCUUCAGGAAAAUAACACGAUUACGAAAUUAGAUCUGUACCAGGGGGGUAAUUAACUUCGAUCCACGCCGUCAUUUGAAAACUAGAUUUAUAGGGUAUGUAUGUUUUUAGGUGUGCUGUAAAUGGCAUGCAGAUAUAUGCAUAUGUAUACGCAGACACAUGCAUCGUCUACACUUCCACCGAACAGACUAAUUAGCAGCGGCUCUGGCAGCUGUGGCAGGAGGCGAGCUGAGACAGGAGCCCGGCUUAUGAGUUACGACUCUGGGGGAGUUGUAGGGACUCAGAGCUCGGCGUAGGGGGAAGGGCAAGAGAAGUGAUGUGUUCGCAGUGGGUCAGUUACUUUCCGGAUCAAGAUCAGACUCUGCCCUCCGUGUUCACAGCGGACCUUGAUUUAAUGUCAUACAAUUAAGGCACGCGGUGAAUGCCAAGAGCGGAGCCUAUGGCUGCACUUGAAGGACACCAGAGCGUCUCAGGACGAGAAAAGGGAAAAGGCAAUCACAAGGGGGUUUGAGGGGUAGUAGAACAAACCCAUCAUUUGCCGCAUACGGACCCUCAGACUGAUUCCAGAACCAACCUAGUGUUUCCAAAGCAAACCGGUCAUAGUUUUCGGUAAAAGCCUCGGAAAUCUGCUGGCGGAUUUUACGAGAGUUCGGUGACAGGAGCUUCAGCUGUCAGGAAAGCAGGAGUUCCAGUUUGUGCAGAUAUUCUAGAGUUGAACUGUUUAGAAAGCAGUGGAUCUUUAAGGAGCAAGUAGUGUGAUUGUUGGCGAUUCUGGGCCAAGCUGCCGAAACAAACAGAACAGAGAGGAUGAUAAUGUUAAAUGGUGCCCUCAUCACAUUGCGCAAGAAACCUCGAAUGGCUCAACUCCUUCGGGAAGCCCUCUACAACCACCACCACUGCCCUCUACCCGCCCCACCCCUUCUCCCUUUCUCUUCCUAGUAUCCAGUCGGCCUUGCCUGACUUUGAAAAGCCAAGAUAAUUUCCUUGUAUCGAGAUACUCUCAAUGGUCAAAUCAGUCAAAGGAGUAGGACAAGGGGAAAAGGCCAAGCCUGAAACUUUAGAAGGACUCUGCAAAUUAAUUUAUUUGGAAGCCAAUGAAGUGGACUUUGUUAAGGUAGUAGUUCCGCACCACGGCCUUGGAGCGAAAAACAAACCCAGAUUAAGAAAGCGAGCCUUGAUAGAUGUCUUUGUUCUGCCUUGGCCUGCAGGGGCUGGGAACAAAGGAGAGGAACUGAGAGAGGAUUCACCAAAGUGGCCGCGCCCUUAGCGCCUGGCGCUGUCCGCGGUGCUGACCUCGGCCCUCUUCUCUCUCCGUAAUUUAACCAAAAAGCAAUAGGACCCUCCCGCCCCCAUCCCGAAGAAUAACAGAAUAUUAGGUAAUUUGAGAAAGAAAAAAAAAUAAAGGCAGAGAAAUGCCGCACACGGCAAAACCUAAUAUUUUACCAAAAUAGUCCACUCUAGCUGUUGCCACACUUGACUUGCCCUUUACAGUCUUGGCGUAGUUACGUAGUUAGUGUAUGUACAUUGGGAAACAAUUCCACUUUAUUUAGACUGAAACCUGAAUCUAGCAAUGGGCGGGACUUGCAAGGAGAAUGAGGAGAAUGAAGGCUCUAUUUUUUCUUUCUUUCUUUCUUUCUUUCUUUCUUUCUUUCUUUCUUCUUUCUUUCUUUCUUUCUUUCAAGUCAUCUUCCUUAAAACAUACAAACUUAUGGUCUUCAGCUGCAUACCUAAAUAGUGCUAGUGUGGUCAGUAAAGGGACUCACAACGGACUCAAGUGUGGGCCUUGAGACUUACCAGAAAAGGACAGAAUGGGGACUCACUAGAUGAGACCAAGCAGGAGUCCACCCAGUCCCAUCCCCUCAGGCAGAAAGGGCAGCCUUCCUAGGUAGGUCCAGAGCCCCAAGCUCUGCAGACCUCUCUGAUGCGCGGAGCAAGCUCCGCGCUUCCUGGCCGGCGGGAGGCACUGCAGGCCAGAAAACGUGAAACCCGCACUGCGGAAAAACCAACUACAGCAUCCUUUUCCUCCUCAAAGCUGUCAGUUGCGAUUGGAAAAGGGCAGGGUGGCUUACCAAAUAGCAGGCAAUGAAGAUUUCCUUUAGGAGUCGAGGGGCGUAUGGGUCAGUAUUCAUACAUUCGAUAAAUCUUUUAUAUUGAGAACAUUAAAUAUAAAUAAUAAGAAUUUAAAUAUCUUAACUAAAUAAUCAAAGAGAGAUAGAGAAACAGGAAAUCAGCCAAUGUGUAACCAGCCUGAGGUCGCAAAAGAAAUUGCUACAUGCUUGUUUGUGUUUAUAAAUCCACAAACAUAAAAGAUGUUAAAACUAGAAAUAGAUAAUAGUAACAAUAGAUUAUAGACUUAUAGAUCUAUAAAAAUAGAAAUAGAUAACAAUCCAGACUGGGCAACAGAGGUGGCAACACCAAUUUUGAUCCAGGUAUAGAAAUGGGCCACAAAUGGGUCAUACAUUUCAUCGGAUUCAUUCUUUUACACCUGAAUGAUGGAGAUAUAUCAAAUGAUUCCAAAAAGAAAGUGGUAAAGCACCUAUUCUCAGGAGAUAGUCAUACUGCCUUCUCUCAGGGUGGAUUUUAUUUGUCCUCUGAUUUUAGAAUUCUGUGAAUUAGGCCUUUCAUGUCCAUUGAUGACUUAAAUUUCUAUUUCAUUUUAUAUAAUUUGAGAGGGAAUAGGUAAAACACACUAAAAAAGGGGGGGAUUACUUGAAUAAUAAAAGGAAAGUGUUUGGAAACAUUCCUCUUAUGCCCGUUAAGAGUAGUCAUUGGAAAUUGAAAUGAAUUUAAAGCAUCAGAUGUUAUCAUGGAAGCUUGAUUUCAUUCCAGGAUUCAUGCAAUUGUGCCGAUCUGCACCCACAUUCCCUCGGAUAUUUCAUGAAGCAACAAGGGUCCAAGGUUGCAAAAUAUUUCUGCCUGAAUUGUGUUAUAAUUCAUAUUACAUAAUAGAAACCCACCUAAUUCCCCUCACUCUAAUCCUUCCUGUUUAGGAAAUCUAAAUUCAUCCUCCAGAAAACUAAGUUUUUAAAUUACUUUCUAAACAGAGAUGAGAAACACGGUGUGAAAGAGAGAAGGUAAAAUACUGUUUAAAUAAGGGAACAUUUAGUGUUCUGGUUACAGCGAUUAAACCCAGAAUGGUUACUGAUCCGAAAUAUUUCUAGAUUUUUAAGACUAUUUUAUUUUCUACUUCUUUUAAAAGUAAUCAUCUGGUUUAAUGUCCAUCGCCAAUUUGACUGCUAUGAAAUUCAGUGCUCAGCAUUUUUUGCAAUAAAACAAUUUAAGCUUCGCAAUUGGAGAAUUUCGGCCUGGAGUGCCACGGGGGUCCUUUGACAAUCACAACUUUCAUUUAGUGGUCUGAAAUUAAAGCUUUUUAGAAUAAGUUGGGAGCAGCUUGACCCUUUGAAAUACUCAAUGACAACCCUCCAGGGAAAUAGCAUGUUUUCUUCCUGGGAAGGAGAUGCUAGCGCAGUGCACCAGGGAGUAAUACGCUGUCAACAAUGCCAGAGCGCCCUCUGCUGCCAGAAAGAGGCAAGACACUAGCUAAAAUAUCCAGAUGGCACUGAGUUGCUGGGUAAGCAGUGAAAACAUUAAGCUCUUAGAAACAUUUAAUCUGUGAAAUUUAAAAUCUCUGAUCAUAUUGUAUUUUUGAAGGGGCCACCUGAUUUUGAUUUUGAGAACUCCUUGAAUAAUUUUCUUAUAUUUCUUCAAGGUAGUGAAAGGUCAAAUGUUAUGAAGUUUCAGUCUGUCAAAUUAUUUCUGUAGUUACAUUUCUGUACUUUCUCUAAUUUUAUAUGAAAAUAUGAAAUUGCAGUUCGGAGUUAAAAAAUCUUUGUGCUGAAUAUAUGAGCAAAUAAUUCUUUUCCUAGUUUCUCUAUAUAACUAAGAUCUAAUAAAAAAAUUAGCUAAAGAUAUCAAUCAUAGAUUGUUACAUUUUUAAAAACUAAGGACAGAGGUAAAGAAUCAUUUUCUUAUUUUGAUAAUUAACCCAGAUUUUUCUCGAGCUUUAAGUCUAGGAAAAGAAAGUGAGUUAUGUUUGAGGAAGAAGUUGAAAAUUUUGCUUCACCCUAAUAUAUAUAUUCUUUUUACCCUUGAAAUUUUUGAAAUGAACUUAUAUCCAUGCUUAGCUUAGAAAGAUUUCAUUAGAAAAGAAUGCACUCUGACUAUAAACAAUCUGAUGUGGCUGCAGCACAGGCAAACUCAUAAAGAAGCAAUACCUGAAUUAAAAUUGAGUUUUUCAGUAUGGAGCAAUCUCUUUUCAAAUGAAAUUGGAGAGCAUUUUCUAAAAGGUUAAAAAUUCUUUUUGAUUUUUAUGUAUUACAGGGUUUGUAUUGAGUUUUAAAAUGUACAGCUGUAUUAAUUAAAUGUUGUGAAUCUCAAAAUUACAGCCUAUUUCUAAACACACACACACCUUUGCCAUGAAGACUAUGUUGAAUAUAUCAGUGCUAAUGUAAUAAAAUGCUUCUAUUAAUUAUGUGGUUGUUAAAUAAAUCUUGGAAAAUAAAGUUCUAUUUAUUUUAUGGUGUCAGAAUGAAAUAGAUAUCCAAUAUCACUUAUUUAAUCCUACUUUAAGUGAAAAUUCUUACAAGAAUUUGUAAGCUAUAAAAUUGCUGACAAUAUUAAACCAAAAUUUAAAAAAUUACAUAAUUUUAUAAUUUGCUAUAAGAGAAAAACUGUUGAUUAAAUAUUAAACUAAGUUAAAUAUUUGGCCAGUUAUGUAAAAUUCCAUAAAACUACAGGUACAUUUGUCUUCUGAAGCUAUUUCUCCAAAGAAUGUAUUUAUAAGUUUAUGGCAUAAUAAUAAAAAUAAAGAAAAUUUUUAGAGUUUUUAUACUUUCAUUCUAAGCAUUCUUUAAAAAAUUAAAUAUUAAAUUUAUUUUUGUUUAGUUUCCAUUUCUUUCUAAACAAAUUCAUAUUUAACUUAGGAGAGAAUUUACACAGUGAUGUAAUUUUUCUGUAUUCCUAACAGUUAUUAUAAUAAGUUUAAAACCAAAUUUUAAGUAAAUA